CCUACGGGAGGCAGCAGUGGGGCAUCUUGGACAAUGGGGGAAACCCUGAUCCAGCGACGCCGCGUGAGUGAAGAAGUAUUUCGGUAUUUAAAGCUCUAUCAGCAGGGAAGAAAGAAAUGACUGUACCUGAAUAAGAAGCCCCGCCUAACUACGUGCCAGCAGCCGAGGUAAUACGUAGGGGGCAAUCGUUAUCCGGAAUUACUCGGGGUAAAGGGAGCGUAGACGGUAAUGCAAGUCUAGAGUGAAAGGCGGGGGCCCACCACCCGGACUGCUCUGGAAACUGUGUAACUGGAGUGCAGGAGAGGCAGGCGGAAUUCCUAGUGUAGCGGUGAAAUGCGUAGAUAUUAGGAGGAACACCAGUGGCGAAGGCGGCCUGCUGGACUGUAACUGACGUUGAGGCUCGAAAGCGUGGGGAGCAAACAGGAUUAGAUACCCUUGUAGUC
rnacentral:rRNA from 1 species